rnacentral:rRNA from 1 species
GACGAACGCUGGCGGCGUGCCUAAUACAUGCAAGUAGAACGCUGAAGAGAGGAGCUUACUCUUCUUGGAUGAGUUGCGAACGGGUGAGUAACGCGUAGGUAACCUGCCUUGUAGCGGGGGAUAACUAUUGGAAACCGUAGCUAAUACCGGAUAAUAUAGUUAACCACAUGGUUUUAUUUUGAAAGGGGGAUUUGCUCUCCUUUAUAAUGGACUUCGGUUGUCUUUGCUAGUUGGUGAGGUAAUGGCCCACCUAGGGGACGGUACAUAACCGGCCUGAGAGGGUGGUCGGCCCAACUGGGAACGGGACACCGCCCAGGCUCCUAAGGGGAGCAGCAGGAGGGGAACUUCGGCAAAGGGGGGAACGCUGACCGGGCCACGCCGGGUGGGUGGAGAAGGGUUUCGGAUCGUAAAGAUCUGUUGUAAGUCAAGAACGGGUGUGGGAGUGGAAUGUGCACGCUGUGACGGUAGCUUACCAGAAAGGGACGGCUAACUACGUG